rfam:Nitrospirae bacterium CG2_30_53_67 cg2_3.0_scaffold_33508_c, whole genome shotgun sequence.
GUAGCACCCGCCCACGUGGGCGGGUGAGGAUUGAAAC